CGGGGAGGGUCAUUGGAAACUGGGGAACUUGAGUGCAGAAGAGGAGAGUGGAAUUCCACGUGUAGCGGUGAAAUGCUAUAGAGAUGUGGAGGAACACCAGUGGCGAAGGCGACUCUCUGGUCUGUAACUGACGCUGAGGAGCGAAAGCGUGGGGAGCGAACAGGAUUAGAUACCCUGGUAGUCCACGCCGUAAACGAUGAGUGCUAAGUGUUAGGGGGUUUCCGCCCCUUAGUGCUGCAGCUAACGCAUUAAGCACUCCGCCUGGGGAGUACGGUCGCAAGACUGAAACUCAAAGGAAUUGACGGGGGCCCGCACAAGCGGUGGAGCAUGUGGUUUAAUUCGAAGCAACGCGAAGAACCUUACCAGGUCUUGACAUCCUCUGACAAUCCUAGAGAUAGGACGUCCCCUUCGGGGGCAGAGUGACAGGUGGUGCAUGGUUGUCGUCAGCUCGUGUCGUGAGAUGUUGGGUUAAGUCCCGCAACGAGCGCAACCCUUGAUCUUAGUUGCCAGCAUUCAGUUGGGCACUCUAAGGUGACUGCCGGUGACAAACCGGAGGAAGGUGGGGAUGACGUCAAAUCAUCAUGCCCCUUAUGACCUGGGCUACACACGUGCUACAAUGGACAGAACAAAGGGCAGCGAAACCGCGAGGUUAAGCCAAUCCCACAAAUCUGUUCUCAGUUCGGAUCGCAGUCUGCAACUCGACUGCGUGAAGCUGGAAUCGCUAGUAAUCGCGGAUCAGCA
rnacentral:rRNA from 1 species